GCCCUGCAACAGAUCCAAUAAGUGUGGCAACAAAUAGUGUUCCGGGACUUGGAAGAGCUGGAUCGCAUGAGGUGAACCUUCUGUCCAUCUCACUACAUACCUCUAGAGCAAAAUUACCAAUGAUCCUGGCANNNNNNNCAAGUACCUCUCUUAAAAUGGUGGAAACGCUUGAUGUCACGGACAACUAUUUCACGAUUUGUGAGGUCUGUGAUGAGUUUCAUAAAAUCAUGGCAAUCCCCAC
rnacentral:misc_RNA from 1 species